ACGCUGGCGGCAGGCCUAACACAUGCAAGUCGAGCGGUAGAGAGAAGCUUGCUUCUCUUGAGAGCGGCGGACGGGUGAGUAAUGCCUAGGAAUCUGCCUGGUAGUGGGGGAUAACGUCCGGAAACGGACGCUAAUACCGCAUACGUCCUACGGGAGAAAGCAGGGGACCUUCGGGCCUUGCGCUAUCAGAUGAGCCUAGGUCGGAUUAGCUAGUUGGUGGGGUAAUGGCUCACCAAGGCGACGAUCCGUAACUGGUCUGAGAGGAUGAUCAGUCACACUGGAACUGAGACACGGUCCAGACUCCUACGGGAGGCAGCAGUGGGGAAUAUUGGACAAUGGGCGAAAGCCUGAUCCAGCCAUGCCGCGUGUGUGAAGAAGGUCUUCGGAUUGUAAAGCACUUUAAGUUGGGAGGAAGGGCAGUAAAUUAAUACUUUGCUGUUUUGACGUUACCGACAGAAUAAGCACCGGCUAACUCUGUGCCAGCAGCCGCGGUAAUACAGAGGGUGCAAGCGUUAAUCGGAAUUACUGGGCGUAAAGCGCGCGUAGGUGGUUCGUUAAGUUGGAUGUGAAAUCCCCGGGCUCAACCUGGGAACUGCAUUCAAAACUGACGAGCUAGAGUAUGGUAGAGGGUGGUGGAAUUUCCUGUGUAGCGGUGAAGUGCGUAGAUAUAGGAAGGAACACCAGUGGCGAAGGCGACCACCUGGACUGAUACUGACACUGAGGUGCGAAAGCGUGGGGAGCAAAC
rnacentral:rRNA from 1 species